rnacentral:misc_RNA from 1 species
CGCACAUUGCGCCCCUUGGUAUUCCGAAGGGCAUGCCUGUUCGAGCGUCAUUACAACCCUCAAGCCUGGCUUGGUAUUGGGCCCUGCUACUGAUAUAGCGGGUCUUAAAACUAGUGGCGGUGUCGCGGUGACCCUGAGCGUAGUAAAUUUUCCUCGCUAUAGGGAACCUGCGGUAGCGGCCAUCAACUCUCACUUUCUAAGUUUGACCUCGGAUCAGGUAGGGAUACCCGCUGAACUUAA